GAUGAACGCUAGCGAUAGGCCUAACACAUGCAAGUCGAGGGGCAUCACAUGAAGUAGCAAUACGGAUGGUGGCGACCGGCGCACGGGUGAGUAACACGUAUGCAACCUGCCUUCAACAAGGGGAUAACCCGUUGAAAGACGGACUAAUACCCUAUAACACAGGGGUCCCGCAUGGGAAUAUUUGUUAAAGGACAACCGGUUGAAGAUGGGCAUGCGUUCCAUUAGCUAGUUGGCGGGGUAACGGCCCACCAAGGCAACGAUGGAUAGGGGAACUGAGAGGUUUAUCCCCCACACUGGUACUGAGACACGGACCAGACUCCUACGGGAGGCAGCAGUGAGGAAUAUUGGUCAAUGGACGCAAGUCUGAACCAGCCACGUCGCGUGAAGGAAGACGGCCCUACGGGUUGUAAAGCUCUUUCGCACGCGACGAUGAUGACGGUAGCGUGAGAAGAAG
rnacentral:rRNA from 1 species